rnacentral:rRNA from 1 species
AUUGAACGCUGGCGGCAGGCCUAACACAUGCAAGUCGAAGGUAGUGGCGGACGGGUGAGUAACGCGUAGGUAACUGCAUGGUAGCGGGGGAUAACUAUUGGAAACGAUAGCUAAUACCGCAUACUACCAGAUGGAACUGCGUUGAAUUAGCUAGUUGGAGAGGUAACGGCUCACAAAGGAAACGAUACAUAGCCGACCUGAGGGGGUUAUCGGCCACACUGUGACUGAGACACGGCCCAGACUCCUACGGGAGGCAUCAGUAGGGAAUCUUCGGCAAUGGGGGAAACCCUGACCGAGCAACGCCGCGUGAGUGAAGAAGGUUUUCGGAUCGUAAAGCUCUGUUGUUAAGGAAGCGGUACUUAACCAGAAAGGGACGGCUAACUACGUGCCAGCAGCCGCGGUAAUUC